rnacentral:rRNA from 1 species
UACAGAGGGGGCAAGCGUUGUUCGGAAUUACUGGGCGUAAAGGGCGCGUAGGCGGCCUUCUAAGUCAAACGUGAAAUCCCUCGGCUUAACCGGGGAACUGCGUCUGAUACUGGAUGGCUUGAGUUUGGGAGAGGGAUGCGGAAUUCCAGGUGUAGCGGUGAAAUGCGUAGAUAUCUGGAGGAACACCGGUGGCGAAGGCGGCAUCCUGGACCAACACUGACGCUGAGGAGCGAAAGCCAGGGGAGCAAACGGG